ensembl:snoRNA
GUAUGCUCAUGCCAGAGUCAACUUCAGCCUGCAACCAUGGCCUGGCCUCUAUACCUGUGGGCUGUGAGCCCUGAAGGGGGUUGUACAUUG